rnacentral:rRNA from 1 species
GGAUGAGCCCGCGGCCUAUCAGCUUGUUGGUGGGGUAAUGGCUCACCAAGGCGACGACGGGUAGCCGGCCUGAGAGGGUGACCGGCCACACUGGGACUGAGACACGGCCCAGACUCCUACGGGAGGCAGCAGUGGGGAAUAUUGCACAAUGGGCGCAAGCCUGAUGCAGCAACGCCGCGUGAGGGAUGACGGCCUUCGGGUUGUAAACCUCUUUCAGCAGGGACGAAGCGCAAGUGACGGUACCUGCAGAAGAAGCACCGGCUAACUACGUGCCAGCAGCCGCGG